UGUAAAUAGCAUGCUUUGUGUGCAGCAGCUGGGGCAGGAUUUGCUGAAAUAAGAUGGUUCUGAAUAAGGCCAAACCUGUUCUGGAAGGGAGUGGGAGGUUUAAGCACAGAGACCUCAGAGGCCACUGGGCCAUUUGCCCAGGGAUGUCCAGCCAGCGGCUUAGGGUGGCAGAGAUUCCUGGAAGACCGCCCCUCCCUGCACCCCAGGAACGCCUCCCUUUGCCGGGCAGCCCCUGCCCUGGAGUGAGUAUUGUUUUGCUCCUUUGGCAGAACUUCCUGGAUCAAGUUAAGAAAGUUCGUCUGGCUGCCAGAAGGUUUCUUGUGUGGAUUUAUUGAGCCCCCACUGAGCAGAGGCGUCGAGGCUGUGAGUUGUAAGACACUAACACUCAUUCAUUCAGUGGAUCCUUUUGAGCAUCCCCUCUGAUCCAGGUGCUGGAGAUACAGGGGCAAGGAGACCAACGAGGGAACAGUGACUCUCACAGAGGAGAAAUAAAUCAGCACCAUUUCGUAUAUGGUUAUGAGAUUUGACCAAGAGGGACAGUAUACUGUGGACAGUGAUCACAUCUGAUUGCUCACUGCACGAUUCCCUGAAGCACCUUGAACAGCAUCCAGCAUUUAGUGGGUGUCCAGUAAACAUCUGCUAAAUGGAACAUAUGAACAAAUAAAUAUAGGCUCAAGAAGAUAAAGGGGUCCUUGAAAUUUAAUCCAUUUUAUUUUCUGCUCCAUCAAGUGUCUUUGGGGAGCAGAGAGCAGGGAACGAGAUUCUGCAUCUACAGAUUUCUCAUAUCAUCGACUUUCUGUGCACAUGUGUGUUCUCAUGGGUUAUUGUUACACGAGCCUUCUGUUUCUUUAAGACUGGAAUCUUCUGGUGUGUUGUUGAAAGGAAGGGCUGUGUGGAAGCUACAUGGGAAGGAGCAUCCCCCCCUUCUUUGAAUGAUAAAAGGGUCACUUUAAUUGAAAUAGAGUCAUAACUUGUUGCCAGAUUUAAGCAUAAGACCUCUCAUAUGUCAAAACCUUAGAGCGGAGAGAUUACAUAUACGGGCAGCACAUAUAUAAAUGUAUGGAUAAUUUAUGCAAUAUUUCUCCUAUUCACGCUCUCUACUUAAGCUAUCCAUUAAAGCCCAUCACAUUAAUUUAAUUGAAAAAUUCUGGGGGAAUUGUAUUAGCUUUUUUCCCAUUAAAUUAACAUUACAGCCUUUAAAGAGAUGUCCUGGAUGACCAUUGUUGCUAACAAAAUUAUUAUGCAAAUUGAAAUCUGGCCUUUCUGGGU
rnacentral:lncRNA from 1 species